AUUGAACGCUGGCGGCAGGCUUAACACAUGCAAGUCGAGCGAGAGGCGGACGGGUGAGUAAUGUCUGGGAAACUGCCUGCUGGAGGGGGAUAACUACCGGAAACGGUAGCUAAUACCGCAUACCAUCAGAUGUGCCCAGAUGGGAUUCGCUAGUAGGUGGGGUAAUGGCUCACCAAGGCGAGGAUCCCUAGCUGGUCUGAGAGGAUGACCAGCCCACCUUGAAUGGAGACACGGUCCAGACUCCGACGGGAGGCAGCAGUGGGGAAUCGUGCACAAUGGGCGGAAGCCUGAUGCAGCCAUGCCGCGUGUGUGAAGAAGGCCUUCGGGUUGUAAAGCACUUUCAGUGAGGAGGCGUUACUCGAAGAAUAAGCACCGGCUAACUCCGUGCCAGCAGCCGCGGUAAUAC
rnacentral:rRNA from 1 species